rnacentral:rRNA from 1 species
CGGUAAUUCCAGCUCCAAUAGCGUAUAUUAAAGUUGUUGCAGUUAAAAAGCUCGUAGUUGAAACUUGGGCCUGGCUGGCGGGUCCGCCUCACCGCGUGCACUCGUCCGGCCGGGCCUUCCUUCUGAAGAACCUCAUGCCCUUCACUGGGCGUGUUGGGGAAUCAGGACUUUUACUUUGAAAAAAUUAGAGUGUUCAAAGCAGGCCUUUGCUCGAAUACGUUAGCAUGGAAUAAUAAAAUAGGGCGUGCGUUUCUAUUUUGUUGGUUUCUAGAGACGCCGCAAUGAUUAACAGGAACAGUCGGGGGCAUCAGUAUUCAGUUGUCAGAGGUGAAAUUCUUGGAUUUACUGAAGACUAACUACUGCGAAAGCAUUUGCCAAGGAUGUUUUCAUUAAUCAGUGAACGAAAGUUAGGGGAUCGAAGACGAUCAGAUACCGUCGUAGUCUUAACCGUAAACUAUGCCGACUAGGGAUCGGGCGAUGUUCUUUUUCUGACUCGCUCGGCACCUUACGAGAAAUCAAAGUUUUUGGGUUCUGGGGGGAUUAUGGUCGCAAGGCUGAAACUUAAAGGAAUUGACGGAAGA